rnacentral:lncRNA from 1 species
GCACUUUAGCAGCCGUUUAUCAUCUUUGUUUUAAUUAUUAAAAGGAAAGUUUCCCAAUAUUUAGCCCCAAGAGUAUUUGUAUUUCAUGUGUUUAUUUCUAGUAUAAAUGUCAGCUCUCGCCGCCAUUGGAAAAAGGUGUUUUGAAAAUGAGGCCAGGAUGAAAAUCAUCCAACGGUGUUUGAAUUAUGAAUCACAAACACUGUGCUGUCUCUGUGUGUUGCAGUGAGCUGAUAAAUUAAUCACAAGGCUGAAGAGAUCAACAUUCAUCAGCUGCUGCCUGCGUGUUUCCAAAAUGAGCCUGUCUCAAGUAUGAUUUGGUGGGGUGCUCCUCCUCUCAUAAGGUUGGUGCAGUGGGGAAAUUUAUGUCCACUGAUAAAGAGGAUCAGAGUGGCUUCAUGGAGGUUGAGGUAACUCCAUAGUCCCUUGUUUCUCUGGUCUUUCCAGACUCACUCAGUGCGUUUACAUGCACAGCUUAAUCGGACUAAGCUCAUAAUUCGUUUUUUUUUCGCCCAACUGGAUUUCUCUCCUUGUCCACAUAUACAUGCAGCUGAGGAAAUCAAAUUAUUGACGUGAACGUGUCCUCCUCUUCAAAACUAGGGGGUGAUAUGGGUCUUUUCAGCGGUGCUGUUUAUGGUUGACCCCAUACAACUACCCACAACAACAGAAGGUCCAUGCCAGAUGUCAAAAGGGGCUACAACUGCUGCUGGGCAUUUCCAAGCAAGAAGAUGGAUGGAUACCUUUUCCCCAGAUGAGGUGCAUGCUACUACUCUUCUCUGGUGUUUUUGUUCCGGGGUUAUGGCGGCGUGGCGCAUGUGCACAUGCGUUGUCCAUCAUACUCCGACUAUGCUGGUUACUUGGUAGAGAAAAUCGAAUUCCAAUCGCAUUAUCUGGGUGUCUUAAUCAAAGUUCUCCAACUCCAAUCAGAGUUCUCAAACUCUGAUUAAAGUCGGACUAAGAUGUUUACAUGCACUUCAGUUAUCAGGUCUUAAUCCUAGUAAGGCAAUAAUUCGGUUUUCUCGAGUGUCAUGUAAACGUACUGACUGAAACUCUUUGUGCAACACUCCUAAUUGAGAAUACAAAAGAAGAUCAUUCCCCGCAUAAUCACAACAAUGUUGUUUAAAGUUAAAAAAAAAAAGCCUCAGAAAAAGGGUCAAGUUCCUUUGACAAGAACAGACCAGAUUGAUUACUUUAUCACCAAAGGCUGUACCAAGUGUCAAUCAUAGAAAACAUGAACCCCCUAAUAACUUUUAAAAAUGGAGCUGUACAGAAAAAAAGAGGAGUUGAGCACAAACCAGACUUUCAAUAACUACAUGUCAACAUUGCAAGUAGGGGAGCGAAAAUUUUAUAUUCUGUGUAAUAAAUUUCAUAAGUUUGUCCACAGCUCCAUAGGGAUUGCUGGAAGAGCCUGGAUUGAUGACCUAUACUGUAGCCCAUCACCAUAGGGUGCUGUUCUCGAAGUGGCAUCACUCAGUGAGGAGGCGGACGACGUCCAUUCUAUAUACAGUCCAUGACUCAAAACCUCUGCUUCACUUUGAGGGAGCUGUGGUGUUAUCCAAAUUAUGAACAGUCUUCUGAACUGGGUCAUGAGUUUGCAUUCAUGGUCUAUUUUAGUCAUUUUCUGUUACAUAUUAACAUACCACGUGACAACCUCCAGGGCUGAGAAAAGAUGCCAGUGUGAGAGUGCAAAGAUCUGUCCAAAAUCAUAUUUGACGAUCAUCAAAACAUCCAUAUAAAAGAAAGGGUCAUUCAUUUUAUCCCCAAAUAUGGUAUGUGUGAUGUUUCUCAAGACUUCAUUGUUUACCUAAAAUUAUGCAUGUUCAGUGGCACAGCCUAAAGCUGCAUUUGUUUAAGGAUAUUUGCACAAGGAGGGUUUUUUUUUUAUUUAUCAGUAAAGUUCUGUUUUCAAUACCUUACAAUGGUAUUUUUACAGUUAAAUAAAAUAAUGACUGGCAUCAAUGUGGCACCCAUUAAGCUGAAAAAGAGUGACUCUUUUUUCAAACAGGUCUAUCUUUCAUAUUUCUAUACUGUGAACAGACUGUGAUACCUGUCUCGGGCUUCACUGGUCACUAAAUGGACCUUUACAAGUCAGCCAACCACUGAUACAGCCUCUGAUUGGACAAAGCAAAGGUGGCAGCCUUUAUCGAAUACUGCCAGCUUACAACAUGAAUGAGGCUGUUUUACCAAAAUAAAUAGAUAAAUCAUCACAGAUUACCUCCCCUAUUAAUUGAUUAGAUUUAGACAGUCCCUGAAAUACACUGAUAUUGACCAGACUUGCUGCUGAAUGUUGCAGAAAAAGUUUAUUACCCAGGGCUGCUGGUCUCACAGAGUGAGUGGAUUUUACAUCAAGUUGGUAUGUUAAACCAUUUUAUUUUUUAAGCAGAUAUUAUCAAGACAUCAAAACUGUGCCAAUACAACCCUGAAUAUGUAAAAAGGAAAAGGAGUCUGUUGGGGUCAAAACUUGAAGAGUUUACUGUGUGCUAUUUUCCAUCUUUUUUUAUGAUUCAAAGCCACUUUCAUCUCAGUCCAGACUGAUGUUUGCUGUAUAUCCUCUUUUGCUUUUUUUUCAUUUGUUUCUUGACUGUUCAUCCAUGUUUUAAGGAUAAAAACUGCUUUACUACAUCGAAG